AUACGGAGGGUCCGAGCGUUAUCCGGAAUCAUUGGGUUUAAAGGGUCCGUAGGCGGGAAUCUAAGUCAGUGGUGAAAUCUUGCAGCUCAACUGUAAAAUUGCCAUUGAUACGGGAUUUCUUGAAUUAGUGUGAAGUGAUUAGAAUGUGUAGUGUAGCGGUGAAAUGCAUAGAUAUUACACAGAAUACCAAUUGCGAAGGCAGAUCACUAACACUAUAUUGACGCUGAGGGACGAAAGCGUGGGGAGCGAACAGGAUUAGAUACCCGAGUAGUCC
rnacentral:rRNA from 1 species